CGCGAAUUGGUGAAAAGGUAUCAUCACUAGCUCAUGCCUAGUAGUUCUGGGUUCAAUUCCUGGAUUCGCAU
rnacentral:tRNA from 3 species